rnacentral:rRNA from 1 species
CCUACGAGAGGCUGCAGUGGGGAAUAUUGGACAAUGGGCGAAAGCCUGAUCCAGCCAUGCCGCGUGUGUGAAGAAGGCCUUCGGGUUGUAAAGCACUUUCAGUGGGGAAGAAAGCCUUGGGGCUAAUACCCUCGAGGAAGGACAUCACCCACAGAAGAAGCACCGGCUAACUCCGUGCCAGCAGCCGCGGUAAUACGGAGGGUGCGAGCGUUAAUCGGAAUUACUGGGCGUAAAGCGCGCGUAGGCGGUCUGAUAAGCCGGUUGUGAAAGCCCCGGGCUCAACCUGGGAACGGCAUCCGGAACUGUCAGGCUAGAGUGCAGGAGAGGGAGGUAGAAUUCCCGGUGUAGGAGUGAAAUGCGUAGAGAUCGGGAGGAAUACCAGUGGCGAAGGCGACCUUCUGGACUGACACUGACGCUGAGGUGCGAAAGCGUGGGUAGCAAACAGGAUUAGAUACCCCAGUAGUC